UACGGGGGGGGCAAGCGUUGUUCGGAAUUACUGGGCGUAAAGGGCGCGUAGGCGGUUGGAUAAGUCAGCUGUGAAAACCACGGGCUUAACUCGUGGCCUGCAGUUGAGACUGUCUGGCUUGAGUGUGGGAGAGGAGAGUGGAAUUCCUGGUGUAGCGGUGAAAUGCGUAGAUAUCAGGAGGAACACCGGUGGCGAAGGCGGCUCUCUGGACCACAACUGACGCUGAGGUGCGAAAGCGUGGGGAGCAAACAGG
rnacentral:rRNA from 1 species